CGAAAGCCUCUCGUUUCCUCUUUCUGCAAAAUCUCCUUUUAUUUUAUUCAGCUUGGAACCCAAGGUCCAUUUCUUGAAAGAAAGAUUUACUUUCAAAUCAGAAAUGAAAAAUUCAGUGAAACUUUUUGAAGACAAAAUCCUCUUUUGUGUCCUUUUCUUGGAUGCAUAGUAUGUUAUAGGAUUACCUAAUGCCAUGGAUUUCAAGAAAGAGAAGCUGGUAAGGUUUAAUGGUAGACAAAACCUGGACAAGACAUUGCCUGUACGUAAAACAUCAGCUCCAUUGUUUAAAACUGAAGGAGGUGGUAUGAAUAGUGACAGAAGCACAAGUAACAAGGAUCCUAAAUUAUGAAGGUUUAAGGUGUUUACAGCAAAUAAUCAUUUGGAGAGAGAAAAUUCUUGAUCCAGGAAGUGAUGUUAUAUUGAAUUGGAACAGGAUUUUCCUCUUCUAAUGAUUGACAGCACUCUUUUUUGAUUGAUUUUUUUUUUGUACCUUCCAUCAGCAAGCAACAAGGAAAAGUCAUCUUGUAUGGAUACUGAUUAGAAUUUAGGAAUUACUGUGACAUGUUUUAGAACAUUUGCUGAUGUAUUUUACAUAGUUCAUAUUGUAAUAAAGUUUAGGACAGCUUAUGUCUCA